CUUUUGAGCUUCCAGUAAGAAUGGAUGCACUGUUGCCUAGUAGACAAUGGGGACGGGAGGUGCCAGGCACAGGCAAUGGCCUAUGACAAGCAGAGAUCAAGAAACGGAGGCAAAGAGAGAUUAAAGAGCUUGCCCAAUUUUAGAAAGCUAGUGAGUGGGACAGCUAAGAAUUCAUCUCACACCCGACCCUGGAACUGAUGCUCUUAUCACUUCACUCUUCUGCCUUCCCAUGAUGAGGCAGGUACAUCCGGGGCAGUAUUGCUGUCUAGGCUGUUGUUACAUUAUGGUGAAAGACUAAUUCCAACAUGAAGAAUAAAUCAAAAAUUUAUUAAUUAUGACUAUGCUUUUAUGUCUAUUGUCAAGACCACUCAUAUUUCUUAAGGAGAAUAUAACAUAAUGAAAG
rnacentral:lncRNA from 1 species